UGGAACUUGACUUGUGAAUAUUUUUUCUCAAACACUUUGGAGAAGGCAAUGGUUCUAGAAAAAUCGUAAUCGUGAUAAUUUUAGUGAAAUUCUGCAUCCAUUUAUCGGUGUGAAUAGUUGCUAAUCAUGAGUGGCAAAUCAAAUGUUGACGCCGCUGGAGGCGGCGAUAGCGGCCUAUACAUCUACGUUGGUAACAUUCAGAAAGCGGCUACAGAGGAUCAGUUGCGACAAUUUUUCCGUGAUUGCAAAGGAAUCGUUUCGGUGUAUUUCCGAUUAGAACAAUCUACAUACUGUCCAACUAAAAUUGCGUUUGUGAAAUUUGCUGAUCGUCAAGAGGUUAAGAAGGCGUUCGGGUUGAACAACACAUUCUUCCAAGGAAAACGUGUUUUCAUUGCCAGUGUCGAUUCAGAAAGAAAUUUUACUCCAAGAUAUUCGGUUAUGGUGAAACAUUUGAAUGAAUAUAUUACCGAAGAAGACGUUUACGACCAUUUCAAAAACAUUGGAACAAUUGAGUGCGUACAGAAGCCAGCUAAUAAUUAUGCGUAUAUUUCUUUUGAGCGCAGCGAGAGUGCUCAACGAGCACUAAGAAUGAAAGAUCGAAGUUUGAAGGGAGUAGAUAUUGAAAUGGAUACUAUUAAAAGAACUAUUUGUAUGCUAUUGGAAAAACCGAAAGGGCUUCUCUUUUCGAGCAUCCAGGACAAAUGUGAUGCUUUGGGCUUAAAGUAUGAACCAGCUGCAGAGGAAGAAACGAAACUACUCGUUACGAAUAUUCCGCGUCAGGUGCCAGAAAAAGAUAUCGUAGAAUAUCUUGGAAAAUUUGGCAGGAUUAUGGAUUGGGAAAUGCAAAAAUCUCCCAUUGCAGUAUUAACAAACAUAGGUUAUGUGACUUACAUGAAUCCAGCAACUGCUCGCCAUGUUUACUUGUAUGGACCACACUAUUUCCAAGGAGUUGGUCUGGAUAUUUAUAAUCCACGUAUUACUUACGGAGAAACUAAGUCAUCAACUGCGGUGUUGUUGAAAAGAACUAAUGUUUAUCUAACCAAUGAUGAAAUCUUUCAAGCUAUGAAUGAGUGUGGCCGUGUCAACUAUAUUCAUCGAGUGGAUGCAUCACGGUACAGCACAAUCGUUCGCUUUCAAUUCUACAUUGCACUUUCGCAGGCUCUUAAAGUUAAACAAAUUGCAGAUGAAAAUGUAUACAUUACGAAGUAUACUCAGCAGAGUUAUUUGACCGACAUAGCUCCGAUUCCCGAGGCUAUGCCCAAAGGAAGUAUUCGCAUUUCCAAGGAGGUGGCACUGCGAAAAAUAAUUGACGAGGAAGAUCGGGUUGAGUUCGCCCGUUUCCGUAUGUUACCCAACGCGAACUAUUUGAAUCCAAAUCCCGAAUUCUACCGGAAUGAAGUUCUUAUUAUGAAUUAUGCUGUUGGACUUGGAUUGUCUCAGUUCCGGGAAUAUUUUAGGAAAUUUGGCAAUGUGAUUAAUUUUCGCGAAAGAACUGAAGGAUUUAUAAGAACAGGCUACCUUAGCUUCGAGACCCGAUUGGAGGCUAGGAGGGCGUGUUCGUUGAAUCAGAACUUUAUUAACGGAACGCGAGUACUAGUUCACUUGGCCAACGAAUGUUUGUUCAUUGACCCAGAGUCGUGCAUCUUGGUUAAUGGAUUAAACGCGAAUAUUUGCGAUGAAGAUAUUUAUGACCAGUUCAAUGAAGUCGGCAAUGUUAAGUUUGUGCUUCGUAAAGCAGCGGAUCGUGCUAUUGUGUGCAUGGAACAUAAACGAAAGCUUGAACCGGCUCUGCGAGUGCAAUCAAUAGGACGAUGUCAUGUGCAGACUGAAAGAAUAAAAAUGUCUAACGCUGGAAGAGCUCAACAACCUCAACAAACAGUAGCGAGUACAAGACCAAACCUUGUACAAAUUGGAUCGGAAUCGAAUGCACCGCAAAAUAACAGUAGGAUUGUUGGUCAGAGAGACUCAAUGGCGGCACCAGGCACGGUUGAACCUAUGAGAGGCCCUGGGGGUCCUAUGAUGAACCCAAAUGGCAACAUGAUGGGUCGUAGUGGUCCCAAUGGCCCCAUGAUGGGUCCCAAUGGUCCAAUGGGUCCUAUGGCGGGUCCCAAUGGCCCCAUGAUGGGACCCAACGGUCCCAUGAUGGGUCCCAACGGUCCAAUGAUGGGUCCCAACGGCCCCAUGAGGGGCCCUAACGGUCCCAUGAUGGGACCCAAUGGUUCCAUGAUGGGGCCUAAUGGUCCCAACGGUCCUAUGAUUGGUCCUAGUGGUCCCAGGGGAGGUCCCAUGGGGGGUCCCCAUAGUCCCAUGAUGGGUCCCAAUGGCCCGAUGAUGGGUCCCAAUGGUCCAAUGAUGGGUCCUAAUGGUCCGAUGAUGGGUCCUAAUGGUCCUAUGAUGGGGCAUAAUGGACCAAUGAUGGGGCCCAACGGACCCAUGAUGGGACCGAAUGGACCAAUGAUGGGUCCUGGUGGCCCUAUGAUGGGUCCCAAUGGUCCAAUGAUGGGGCCAGGUGGUCCAAUGAUGGGCCCUGGUGGCCCAAUGAUGGGUCCUAAUCAAGAUGCACAAACGGCUCCGGUUGUGACACCUGCUAUGCGGCGUCUUAUGCAAAUAGUGGAAGGAGAAAUGAUUAAUGUUCGGGCCUUUUCUACGUUGCCGAUGAUAGAACAAUUUCAUCUUAUCCAUGGAAUCGUAAAUCAAUUUAUAAACUAUCCACAAUUCCUCAACAUGAAACCAGAUAAAAAGAUAAGCUUCCUCAUAACUGGCCAAAAUGGCUUUGUUUAUGCUGACUUGUUUACGCUGUUUACAUAUCCCCAGCAACUGAAGCUGUUAUCAAUGAUUCAUUCUGAUUAUGUCAAUACAAUUACGGCAGAAUCUUCGGACAUGGGGCCUAAAUCAAUGUCUGCUUCGAAUUCGAUAACAUAUUCCAAACCCAUAGCUCCUAACAAUUCAGAAGACAAUGGAGCUUUGGCUCCUUGGCAGAUCAAAUCAACUAGCACUUCAUCAGAAGCUAUGAAAAGCGACGCUGGUUCUAAGAAAUCAAAAUUGCAAUCAGCGCAGAACCGUUUCGAAGAAGCUGAGAAAUUGAAACGUAAAGCAGGUGUUGAAAGCAAUCAAGAUGACGAUAAAGUUGAAACGAUGACGGUCAGUUCUGAAUCUAGUGUCAUUCCACCGGCACCCGAUCCACCAGAAUUCAGCACGAAAAAGUCCCGUUCCAUUUCGCCCACACCUUCUCCGGUUCGGAUAGGUAGAAUGCUAAGUAAGUCUCCUAUCCCACGCUACCGGAAUCCUCGCUCGUCAUCGAUUUCACCAAGUCGACGUGUGGAUCACCGUAGCUCGGCGCUGAAAGUUCAAUCAUCGUCCGGUAGACGCGAUAGCUUGAGUCCAUUGUCGAGUGCAUUGCUGCCAAGUUUAUUGCUGAGAUACAAUCGAUCACGCUCGAGGUCUCCCCGGCGUUAUAGAGAAGAGCGAGAUCGCUACGAAACAUCUACCCGAGCAAGAUAUCGAACCAGAUCUCGUUCCCCUAAUUUGUCUAGGCGGUCUCGAUAUGUGACAUCACCGAGCCCAAGAGAUCGUGACUACCAACGGCAACGUUCAAGAUCGGCCGAACGACGUCGAGUUCAUCACGCUCGAUCCCGAAGUCCGCAACUCCGAGGUUACUCGCGAACCCCUUCGUUGAGUCCCAGCCCUCCACCUCGCAUAGUAAGCCCGGCUUGGGAUGAGCGCAAUCGUUCACCGUUGCUUGAAGAACGAAUUCAUCGGGAACAGUAUGCCGAAGUAAACGAGGAACACGGCGUUUCUAGCUGCAUUUUCGUGGGCAAUCUACCGUUGGAUACAACCGAAGACAACAUUGCAGAGAUCUUUGGUAAGUUUGGCCAAAUUGUAAAACUUAAGCUGCCCACAUUCAACAUUGGAACGAAGCGGGCUUUCAUCACAUUCGACACGUUCGAUCAAGCGGUAAGGGCUUUAGACAUGCACUUGAGGCUGUAUCGUGGCCAUCUGUUACGUGUCGCCUUCAAUAACAAAAAACAGAAGGAGCGUCCUGGUUUUGCUGUCAAUGUAUCCGUAAAUGGGCAAUAUGACGAAGUCGCCAUCUAUGAUACGUUCAAAAUGUGCGGUGAAAUAACGUAUAUUUGGACCAGGAUCUAUCACAGCAAGUCAUUUUGUGUAAUUGAUUUUAAACAUCGUGAUGCGGUGAGAGCAGCAGUCGGUACACACAAGUUACUAAACGGUCACAAAUGCAAGGUGUGUACCAUCGUAUAAACGAUCAGUUUGUUUGGAAAACUGGAACACUUCUGGCUCGAAAAGCUACUGGAUAGGGAGCGAUGUAUUGUGUUUGAGUAGCUAUGAAAUGCAUAUGGUUGCCAAGUGUCUGUGAGAGUCCCAGGUUGUCUGUUCAAUGCAUAUAGUACUAGUUUGAGAAGCCAAUUGUAUGUUCGAGAGGAAGGAAAGAGCCAUGCAAUGGUUCUAUACGCUAUAAAUCGGCUGCGAAGUCUGUUGAAACAGAAAAUGUAAUACUAUGGCUUUGCUUUUUAGUUUACCUUAGCGGGAGCAUAAAAAAGGCGGAAUAACGAAAGGCCGAAAUAUAUAAGGCCGACGAUACCACAUAAAGCCGAAAAUUCGGAAAGCCGAAGCAUAAUAGGUCGAAAUAUAUAUAUGAUGCUAGUUUUUUUCGCUGAUUUAAUUUUUCAUCGGUUUUUAGCGUUGUAUCAUAAAUCAAAUAAACAUAGAUUUCCCAGUGUAAUAGUAAUGUAGUUGAGCAACCUGUGACACCAAAAGCACCGUCUGGUGGAGAAUGGAUGCGUAAAUGCUCCUAAAAUGCAUGCAAAAAGUUGCCUGCGCAUUUAACACAACCACAGUAGCUAAUGGAAAAAAGUACACCCGUUUGUCACUAGAGGUGCUGUUAGUGUCACCGUACAGUGAGAAAUCUAUGUUUAUUUGAUUUAUGGUUGUAUAGUACUGUGAUAUAAUUGUGGUACAAAGUAUUUGGUAAGAAUUCUAACGAGAUCUUAUAUAUAAACCGUUUGUCCGGUCAGCUGCUCAAACAUGGAGGAGAGGCACUGGCUAAAGCUGGAUGAUUUCUAGGAUUUGGGAGGAGGAGAUUCUACCGUAGGAAUGGAUGGAUGGAGUUGUAUGUCCCGUCUACAAAAAGGGCGAUAAGCUAGACUGUUGCAAUUACCGCGCAAUCACAUUGCUGAACGCCGCCUACAAGGUACUUUCCCAAAUUCUUUGCCGUCGUCUAUCACCAAUAGCUAAGGAAAUCGUAGGGCCGUACCAAGCGGGAUUUACUGGAGCCGGCGCCACUACGGAUCACAUAUUCGCGAUAAGACAAGUACUCCAUUGACUUCAAAGCGACAUACGACACAAUCGAUCGAGAACAGCUAUGGCAGAUCAUGCACGAAUACGGUUUCCCGGAUAAACUGACGCGAUUGGUCAAAGCAACGACGGAUAGAGUGAUGUGCUACGUCCAAGUAUCUGGGACGCUCUCGAGUCCCUUCGAAUCCCGGAGAGGGCUACGUCAAGGUGAUGGACUUUCUUGUAUCUUGUUCAAUAUUGCCCUGGAAGGUGUGAUUCGAAGAGCGAGGAUCGACACGAGUGGCACGAUCUUCCGAAAGUCCGUACAACUUUUUGGCUUCGCUGACGAUAUUGAUAUUGUGACACGUAACCUUGAGAAGAUGACGGAAACCUACAUCGGACUGAAAGCUGAAGCUAGGCGUAUCGGACUGGCCAUAAAUGCGUCAAAAACAAAAUACAUGAGAGGAACAGGCUCUACAGAAGAAACACAACGCCGUCACCACGGUGACAAUAUCGAGGUGGUUGACGAGUUCGUGUAUUUGGGCUCACUGGUGACCGCCCAUAAUGACACCAGCAGAGAAAUUCAUAGACGUAUUUUGGCAGGGAAUCGUGCGUACUUUGGACUCAGAAAAACCCUUCGAUCGAGAAAAGUACGCCAACGCACGAAAUUGACCAUCUACAAAACGCGCAUUAGACCGGUUGUUCUCUAUGGCCACGAGACCUGGACUAUGUUGGCACAGGACCAACGCGCCCUCAGUGUUUUCGAAAGAAAGGUACUGAGGACGAUCUAUGGCGGAGUGCAGAUGGAAGACGGUACGUGGAGACGGCGUAUGAAUCACGAAUUGCAACAGCUGCUAGGAGAACCACCUAUCGCACGGAAAGCUAAAAUCGGACGUCUACGAUGGGCUGGGCAUGUCAUAAGGAUGUCGGACGACAGUCCAGUGAAAAUGAUCCUUGAAUCUUAUCCGACUGGUACAAAAAGAAGAAGAGCGCAGCGAGCAAGGUGGAUCGAUCAAGUGGAAGGUGAUCUCAGAAGUAUCCGUGCCUUGAGUGGCUGGCGACGAGCAGCCAUGGACCGAGUUAUGUGGAGACCAGUGCUUUCAUCAUUCAUUCAUCAAUGCGAGGAACGAGCAAAAAAAGCGUUCAGUGCAGCUAUAGCACUCAUACCAACAGACUGAGUUACCGGCUUCGAUGCUGAAAAUAUACACGAGCAAACAGAGUGGAGAACGAACCAUUCCAUACAUACUUGCCGACGAGCGUGCUCUAUUACGUUUAAUAGUAUUGAACCUUCCUGAAAAACAGUAUUAAGUAUUCUCUUUUCUCUCAAAUAUAGGCAACUCGUUCAAACAAUUCCUCGGUAGUAUAAGUGAUUCAAGCACACUAUCGUUGGUGAACCAUUCAUCAUCAAAGAAUACUGUUGAAUUUGAAUGUAAAAAUAAUUUAAAUCAUUAAUGUAUUCAAGCAUAAAAAAAUAAAUUUAGAAGGUUUCACGCUGCUGUAGAUUUUCCACAUCAUUUUUUACUACCAGUAGCUAUGAUUAAUGUUCAUGUUUAUGAGAUCUUAACUGCAAGCAAUGGCCAAAAAGAGUGAAGAAGAAGAAGUAAGCUUCAUCUGUGCUUAACGAUUUCACUGCUCACUCGUUGGGCUAGUAACCACAUGAAGAGAUUCAUGUAUGUACAGCCGACGAUGAAGAACCAACAAUACUCUCUCGUUGCUUCGCUCACUAAUGUAAAAGAGAAUGAGCAACAAGUAAUACUUCUAUACGCUUACCUUCCAAGUACAGAAGAGCAUUGAUUCACUAAUACAUACCAAUGUGAACCAACUCCGUCUGCUUAGAAGUGUCUGACGAAUGGUUCAGUUGCUGGUGCAUUCAUGAACCAUGAAACGAAUGAAUGAUGCUUACUUUUAUUCAGUUCAUUCAUUUUCCAAGCACUGGUGGAGACGUAUGCUUGAUACAGCAAAGGACACCCCAGGCCUAUAGCUGUUAGAUGAUGAUGAUUGUCCGGUCAGCGCGAUGAAAAAAUCGUUUCGGGCUUUCUGAGUUUCGGCCUUUUGAGUUUCGGCUUUCUAUGAUGUACGGCAUUUUCUGUUUUCGGCUCGUUUUAUUUCGGCUUUUCGUUAUUUUGCCUUUCGUAUUUCGGUCAUUUUUUAGGCUCCCCAUACUUGCAUAUCAGUCCUAAAUGAAAAAUCGGCAUGUCGAGUAAAAGACGAUUAAAAUUUUAUUUCCAAUUUUUUUGAUUUAUUGUGUUACCUAAUACUAAAUCAUGGUAUUAAUACAUUAAAUAUCGGUAGUACACCUUUGCUAUUCCAAUAUUGCAACAAAUGAAAUUUGCACUAAAUGGGAUUGAUAUGCCGGUACUUUGCUUGUGGGACAGAUAUGAAUUGAUAUAUUUUCACAUUUUACUGACCAAAGCCCUAAACUUUUAUUGCAAUUUCCAAUAGUAUAUUAAGGUGAAAUGUAGUGGAAAGCACUUUUAGCGUUUUCGCCCGAUUUCCGAAAAACCAAAAACACUUAAGUUUUUGCAAUUAAAUUUAUCACAACUAAGUAUUCUUAGAAUUUUGAAAUUUUGCUUUGCCGAGCCGUAAUUGGUUUUUGAAAUGUAUAAACGGUUACUGUUCCGUUUCACGGGGAUGGUUUUAGAACUGAAAAGUAGUGUUUGUAGCAAAAUUUCACAAAUAAUCUGAAAAUGCAACUCAAAAUUAUAUAACUUUAGCCAAAACAACCGAGAUUUGAAAAAGUUUACAUAAAUUUUCCGCAUUUUUUUUAUUGCUUGCACGCUGCUGUUUCGUAUUGACAUGGUGUGAGAAAAGCACGGUGGCAUUUUAUCGUAAGCGAAAAUUAUUAAGAUUACGAUUACAUAGCUAGUGACACGAAGAAGAAUAACAAUAUAACCACUUUCUACUUAUUCCAAGAUGACAAUGAAAGUCAAUUAGAAUUGAAUAUAUUGGCAGUAAUUCCAGUCCAGUAAUUUAUUUUAACAGUGUUUUAUUCGCUAAAGAAAUUCGACCGCGCUCUAUCAUGCGUGUGAAGUGAAUAAUUUUACACAACUUUCCUCUCAACGGCGUGAAGGGUUAGGUGUACUACUGUCAAAGAUACCGAAAAUACUUGAAUAUUUGCUUGUCUUCAAUCGUUCUUCUGAAGGGAGAACCCAUGCUUGCCACUAAACUCAGGCAUAUACAUGGAAAGAAAGUUAGUCAAUACAUAUGCAUAUAACCAUAAUCAUAAUUACUCAUGAUUCAUAGUUCUAGUGUAAUAGUAAUCACUAACAAUAACGAUUGAAUUAGGAUAUAUUCAAAGUGUGAAAGAUUCAAAAAUCCAUUACGAAUCAAUGAGUCAUUUUUACAAGCCAACAAAAUGAGUGACAAGCCCACUGCGCUCAAUGACUGAAAAUAUUGCUGGUUCCUAUGUGUAGGUUUUUCUUGUUAUGCUUUGUGCGACGAUUCGGUCAACUCAAGCGGUUAAAAAUUCGCGCGCCUUUUUUCAGACUACAUUUCACAUUAAGGAUAGGUUUUAUUCCUCAAGGUAACUCAAUAUUGGCGAAAAUCGAUAUGGGACUGAUAUGCGAAUAUGGGCAGUAUAAAUCUAAUAUAACACCACUCAAGUAUGUUGUGUUAUAGAAAAUUCCUCAACCAGUUAGGGAUACUGUCUAUAGAAUAUAUCAGAUGUAGGUUUCACAAACAGUAAUUAUUGUGCAAUGGUACUUCGACGAACGGCAACUGAUUUCUGUCGGGUCCCCGCCUAUCGUUUGCUGAUCAUGUCAAGAGCUAGUACAAUAUCCGUAGCUUAUUGCCGCAUCCUUUCUCCAAUGGCAAUCGUGCAACUACGCAGAGUGGUGUAAGAAGAACCAUAUGAUAGUAAAUACCUACAAGUGCUUCACGAGGAAAAAAAGAACCAUUUCAAGUAGCGCAUCGUGUUGCUAAACAAUUUUUGCUGGGCGAGAUUCUGAUUUCAUAAUCCAUUUCAUUUAUUUAUUUUUAUUGAAGAAGGGAUACAAAACUACUAAAUGCAUACUUUUAGUUUAAGUUUUAACCAAGUAAUAUUCUUCGUUCAAUAUACAUUUCAUGAUUCAAGCAUGAUCUUUGUUUACAACACAAGUAUUUUUAAUAUUUGAGUUCUCCUGAUACUUAGUUUUCAUCUUAGUCCCGUCUUCGUCGUUUGUACUACAAUGCUUUUAAUGCUAUAUUGCCCACAUUGGUUUCACUAACAAUCAUGGGUUAUUUAUUAAUGUCAUUUUCGUUUGAGAAAACUGAAACUGAUCCAGGGUAGUUUCAACAAACAAACACUUUCCAUGAAACUGUGUUGGUUUCGCACUUAGCAACGGGGGUUUGAGCAAACCUGAUAUAAAAACCAGGUUCGAAACUGGUUCGAUUAUCAGUUUAACCACGUUAAAACUGGGGUUGAAGCAAGCUUCAAACAAACGGUUUGACAGCAAUUAGAGUGGAAACAGGGUUAGGUUUGGCUUCAAGCGAAAACGACAUAAGGGUUUAGCUACAAGGGGCACGCCGACCUGAUUGUCGGUUACAUUGUAGCUAAAGUUUCCUAAAGGAGUCUAGUAUUUGUAAAAUAGGAAUUUGUUCCUUAAGGCGACGGAAAGCCAACUAGACAAAAUAAAAUUCAUAUUGUGUAUCGUUUCAUAACAUUUAUAUUAAGCAUGCACUCUUUCUCCUUCCGUCCGCCUUCUUCUUCUCACAAAGCUUCAUCAUUUAUCCACACUUUCUGUACUAGCUUCUCCUUCCUCUCAUCUUGACACUUCUUUCCCUGUAUAUGCCUACUGCUCUACGUGUGUACAAAAGUUCUACUCACAAUACCGGAGUUACCCUUUCAAAUACAUGCUGUUCGGAAGACUUCCUUCUGUUCCACCAAUGUCUAGCUGGCUGGAGUCUGACGUCCAACUGCCUGAAUGAAUUGCUUUCAUGAUCCCGCGGAAGCGCGAUUUCCACUGCAAACGUCCGUUCGUCCGCCGAGCUUAACGAGAACAAGCACACCUAUUUCAUGCGCUCGACAAUGCCGAAUGAGCCGUGCCACGGCCGUUCAAGAUGGUGAUUGAACCGAAGAGCCAAAACACAUGACCGUCAAACGAUGCCUUGAGUGUAGCGCCCCCGGUGGAAAAUAAACAGUAAUAUGAGCGCCAAGGUGCUGUGGAUCGCCGUUGACCAAUAGUAGCGUGGGUGAUCGAUGUCGGAACAGCCAGACCAUGUAACGAUGUAGCACUGGAGCUGCUGCCGAAUGAUACCGAACGGAGGACGCGGAGAUGAUAAUGUAACCGAAUCACGUUGAAAUGGUGCUGUCAGAUGCCUGGGCCGCCAAGCAGAGAAUUGAUGACAACGGCGUAGUAGUGACAUUCUGGACUUCGAAUUCAAAAAACACACCCCUUCCGGGGUCUGGUAACUGUGCUUAGCGUCUUUUCCACUUUCUCGUGUAUAUUGCCAGUGUUCUUCCCGAUCCGACUUUUGUUUCGCACUCUUAUUGUCUGCAGUUUUGCCGUUCUGCUGCGGGUGUUCACCCACGUGACUUCGCUGGACGGAUCACCAGGUCGAAAUGAACAUUCUGAUUUUUUGUUCUUUUUUUUGUGUUUUUGACAGCUGUGCGGAAGAAGAUAUCCGUCACGGUUUGAGCUGCGUCUGACGAGGUGAUUUGCGUCUUAACCGUGAUGCUAGUGCGAUGGAUUUGUAUAAUUCCUCACAUUUCAAACUUAUGUUUGAGUGUCAGCAUUUUUCAUUCAGUGCAUAACUGAGUUUAACUAUACAUAUUUUCCUUAACGUUACAUAUUCUUACAGAAGCGUCCGUAUGCUGUGGGCUGGUUCGUUCAAUUCUCGAAUAUUGCUCGGUAAUUUUGAGUCCCUGCUGCCUUAACAGUGCUCAUACAAUCGAGUCACAGAUUUGUUUGCUUUGCUCUUCUCGGAAUACCUUGAAAGUAUCCCUAUCAACUACCGAGCUAUACAAGUCGCGGGUUAUUAGUCGGUCUAGACACACUACAAGUGCCGCCUAAGUACUUUCAUGAGAUGCUAAUUUACGAACACCGUCUAAUCCAAGUAAAUUUUUGGAUCACAAAUCCAUAAGCUAUAGUACUGUCUAUAGUUGAUUUAAUUAGAAGCCAAAGACAUUAUCCCGUCACACUUCACAAUCUGAUCUGAUGUAACUUUUUUUUAAACAUGCAAUAAAACAAACAGUUCAUCCGAUUUCAAAAUUUAUUUUUUCAUAUUAAAGUACAAUGCUUCUGGUUAAUUGUGGAAUUCAAUUUCAUUCAAAUGGCUGCCUCGGCUGGCCUUGCAGUACGCCAUACGGUCGGUCCAGUUUUUUAGUACAUUUUCGAUUGUAUGCAGCUUUAUUUCAGCUAUGGCUGCACGAAACUUGUCCUUCGAGGCUUGAAUUGUCUCUGGCUUGUCCACAUAACACUUAUCUUUGGCAGCCCCCCAAAGAUAAUAGUCUAACGGCGUCAAAUCACAGCUCCGAGGUGGCCAAACGACAUCCGAAUUUCGAUUGAUAAUUCGAUCUUCGAAGACUGUGCGCAGAAGAUCGAUCGUAGCGUUGACUGUGUGGCACGGAGCGCCGUCUUGUUGGAACCAAAUGGUGUCCAAGUCUUCCUCUUCAAGUAACGGGAAGAACCAAUCGCUAAUCAUGGCGUUGUAGCGCUCGCCAAUGACCGUGGCGGCGGCUCCUGCCUCAUAUUCUAAGAAAAAUGACCCAAUGAUGCCGCCAGACCAAAAUCCGCACCAAACCGUCACUCUCUGAGGAUGCAUCGACUUCUCCAUAAUAACGUGCGGGUUUUCCGUCCCUCAGAUGCUACAAUUUUGCUUAUUAACAUACCCGCCGAGAUGAAAAUGUGCCUCAUCCGAGAAGAUGAUUUUUUGGUAAAAAUCGGCGUCUUCUUCAAGCUGAUCGCAAGCCCAGUUGGCACUGUUUUCAUGCGUUCCUCAAGCGUAUACACAACCAUUUUCGUUCAGCGGAAGGAUAAAACUAAGUUUCUGUCUAAUAUGUUUUAAGUUUAGACCUAUUUCCAUAAUGUAACUCAGGUCAGUAUAAUAAAGAAAGACGUAGUCCUAGGUCAACGAAGUAAAUACCUCCAUAUGUUGGAAUAAGUGUUCGAUACUGUUCCAUGCAAAGAGGUUGUAAAUAAAAUCAAAAAGCUACUGAAAAUAAGGAAAAAUCAUAAUGCUUCAACUAAAACUAUAUGGUUGUUCUAUAUCAAUUAUAAAUAUCGAACAAAUUACAACAUUUAAAAAGAUUAUAUGGAGUUAAGGACGACAGGAUGCUGACGUGUUAAAAUAUUGUGUUGAAAUGGUUUACAGCCUUCAUUCCCAAAAUGACGAUGAGAAGAGUAUUAUGCGGAAUACCUUAAGAUAUACAUUUUGGAGAACUGAGCUUGGCAUUGAUACGAAUCCUCAUCCAUUGAAAAUAUGUCGACUAGAGUUUACCGCUAGGGGGAAUUGCAGUAUUGCAAAGUAUUGCACGGGAUUAGGUGAAACUCUUUCGCAAUUAGAAGUUUAUUCGCCUGAGUAAGUCCAGAGUUUAGAGUGAUUUUCUCCUAGUUCCGCGGUAACAAGCUACCAACCUUAAUUAGUUCACCAUUGACCUUAAAAGUGUAACACAUGUUUGCUUAACGAGCAUACCUUAUGAUCAAAAAAGAACCGGAAUUUUUAUUUUAAAAUGCCCGCGCUUGUCCAUUCGGUAAACUUUUAUUCUCUGAACGUUGGCAACACUUUUAUACACAUUCUGUCAAAUUUUGACGCAUAUCGUACGAUUAGUUUUUGUUUGGCGUCUAUACAAAGAAGUUGAAAAAUUUUCGUGUGGCGAUUUUUAUAAUGGAUUUAAGUGUUCCGAAACGUUGAAAAUGUUAGAAAAGGCCUUUGGUGAAUCGUGUCUAGGAAAAACACAGGCAUACGAGUGGUAUAAACGCUUCAAAGGUGGUCGUACAAGAUUGGAUCAUGAUGAGAUCCCUGACCGCCCAACAACAUCUGUUACUGAAGAAAACAUUCAAUCGGCGAAGAAUCGUGUUGCAAAAUUGUUCUGUACCGAUUUGAGAGAUUGCUGUGUUGUUGGGCAUCUUUUAUGGAUCAGCCGAACACAUUUUAACUGAUGUUCUGGGUUUGAACGCGUCGCUUCUCGGCUGGUGCCAAAAAAGCUGAAUUUCAUUCAAAAACAGCGUCGUGUUGAUGUGGCCAAAGAGAUGAUUUCCAACGCAGAUAGUGACCCCACAUUCAUCGAAUCCAUCAUAACUGGUGAUGAGGUGUGGAUCUAUGAAUAUGACGUCGAAACCGCACAACAAUCGACCGAAUGGCGCUUCGAAGGCGAGCCGAAACCAUCCAUUAUAAAAAUCGCCACACGAAAAUUUUUCAUCUUGUAUAGACGCCAAACAAAAACUAAUCGUACGAUAUGCGUCAAAAUCUGACAGAAUGUGUAUAAAAGUGUUGCCAACGUUGAGAGAAUUAAAGUUUACCGAUUGAACAAGCGCGGGAAUUUUAAAAUGAUAAUUCCGGUUCUUUUUUUAUCAUAAGGUAUUACUUUGAAUUUUAAAUGUCGAAAACGCGGCAGUAAGUAUGGAUUCGCGAUGCUUAUGCUAUAUUGACGUGAGCAGCAUUCUUUCCGAUAGACAAUUAUGAUUUAUUGGUGUGAAAUUCUCUUCAGUGUGUACAACCAGUUUAUUGAACAGAAGAGCGAGGAAUUUGUAUAUCCAUCAGCUACAUAUCAAGUAAGUAUGGUGUAUAUUAAUUAAAAAAACAAAACAAAAUUAAAACAAAAAAAAAACAAAAAGAAAACCAAAAGCAAAAAGAAAAAUAAAUCUGUAAUUUUAAGAAAUAGGUUUCGUAACACUGAUUAUAAUUUAUACACUUUUGAAAGUUUAGGCUCAAAUAACCCAAGGAUAGCGGCAAACGAUGAAAACAACUUUUAGCAACUGUAGGACUACUUUCAAAAACUGGUAAUAAUAGAUAUAAGAUACUUACAUUUUUUGUAUUUUCAAUGUGUACUCAGACAAAGAUUUUAUCCAUCGGUUAAUCUAUACUAUAAGACAUAACAUUUUUUUUUAUGAUUUCAAGGGACAACUUAUCCUUGGUCAAAAUAUUACUGGAAAUUCUCUUCACAAUAGACAGGUUUGAACGUUGAGCUAUUGAAAAGUUUAGUUAACUAGCAAUUGUGACUAAUUCGUCACUCGAGCGUUUAGUAGAAUAAAUUCAUGAAAAUACUAUUUUAUAACCAUUCAAUUCUAUCAUAUCGCGCCACUAUACACUUUACUAUGUAUCGCACAACCAGUGCGGUAAAAUUUCACUUUCAAUCGAAUGUUAUUAGAUGAAAAAAAUUAUUGCCAUUUACUGUCAACAUAACUCUUCGCAUUCAUUUGACUUUUGUUACCAUACUCAAAUGAAGCUUUCAGAUUUCAUCGUCAAUUUAAUAAUCGUACCUAGACUUUGAAGUUUUGCUUGCUCAGUUUCAAGCGCCAAGUAGUCUACCUGCUUCAUUGUUUUCGCUGUUGGUAGUGAGCAAGUUCGACAGAAUAUGUAUGACCAUCAACUCGAUAAGCAAAAUUCCUUCGGCCAGAAUUAUAUAUGGAGGGUAGCGAUUCUCAUUUGAGUUUUCGAUUAUCACCAGCAAGUUUAAGUAAAACGGGUAUGUGCCCGAAGCACAAACAUAGGAUAACCCCUAAAUGAAGUUUAUAUCGAUAAUUUUCGACUCUAUUAAUUUUAGUUUGUUGACGUAAAGCCGCUAUAAUUAAUUCAGUUUUUUGCAAUGACUUAGUGGAACAUAUAUUGGGGAAGCCAAAUGAAUGAAAAACUAACAGAAAAGAUGAUUUAUUGGAAAAAGAUACGCUCAGAGACAGGACACGAACCUUUGUCUCAGAGACAGAACAACGAACCUGUUCGUGUCCUGUCUCUGAGCGCAUCUUUUUCCAAUAAAUCAUCUUUUCUGUUAGUUUUUCAUUCAUUUGGCUUCUCCAAUAUAUGUUUUCACUCAGUCAUUGUAAAAAAAAACUGAAUUUUCGUCUGUUUCAAAUGUAUUGAGACGCGUUUCAAAGUUUUAUAGUUUUAUUUUAUGAAAACUGAAAGAGUGAUCAAUUAAAUUAUGUUAAUUCGUGAUUGAUAUUUCAUCUGUUAUCUUGAACCAGUUCGAAUGUUUACAUGAACUUCAUUUGAAGGGUGCUCUGUCAUUCAAAUGAAAUAGAUAUUUUAUGCGUUCAAGAAAUCAACUGACGGUGGUUAAACUAAGCUUCGAUUCAAAGAGAAAAGAACGAAGAGCUGAAUGCUGCCUAUUCGGUACGUCGGCGAAGGUUGUGUGUGAUAGAGCGUUCAACUGAAUUGAAUGCAGUUUUACUGCACUGCUCACAACACAUUUUUCAAAUGUGUAUGUACGUCACAACACAGAUACGUCUUUCGGAAUGUUAUUCACAUGCUUCAUCAGUGGCUCAGUUUUUUAGCAAUCUCAUUAAACUGAUGCGCAGAUGAAGGAUGUAAAUAAAAUUUUGAAAUACGUAGCUGUAUUGUGACGUUUAAUAUACACAUUUGAAGUGUUGUGAGAUACAUUGGGAAUGUGCAUGUUGAUGUGAUCAAAUAGAAUCCAAUGGUGAUGAGAUAUUUUGCUCGUAGCAGCUGUGUUAAUUUGCGUAUCAGAAUGUUAACACGUACUUAAAUAGUUGUCAUUUUAAACAAUCAGAGUCAUUAAAGCUGUGGUUGAAAUUGACAUUGCAAAUUGUGAUAAAAUUCAUUUCGAUUCAAUGUGGUAGAAACAGGUGGGGCAAACACAACUCUUUUGUGUUAGUGAAAUUUACUUUGCAAGGCAAGUAAAACUAAAAACCAUGUUCUAGCUGUCACAUCAUUCGGACUAGUUGGCAUUGAAUCAAAGCAUGUGUAUAUUUCGUGUAUGUCGUCAUACCGAACUAUUUACAUUUUUUAUCAUAUCCCACCUGCUUAUAUCACAUUGACUAUGCAUAAGCCAAAGUAGAUGCAUGAAGUGGAGCUUCGAGUACAGUCUCCGAUUUCAAUCGUUUUGUCAAAAACGCAUUAAUAAUUAUGAUAAAUACUUUCGUGCUUCCUAAGCUAUGGUAAAUAUUGAUUGAAAAUCAUGUUUCUAAUGUAAGCUACAUAUUACCAUAUAAAAAAGCGCCGUUUUUCCGAGGUCAAUUAGUUCGUAGUUUAGUUUUACGUCUGUUUGUCUGUGGAUUCCGAAAUACAUUUUUAUUUAAAUAUUCUAUCAAUUGAGCAAUUCGUAACUAUUUGUACUUUUUAUAUUGCUGUUUCUGGGAAUUUGACGAUUUGGGAACCUAGCAUCCUGCUUGCUAAAUGUGGAUAUGAGUAAGGAACUCUCCAAAAAACAACAGAAUUCUUUCGAGGAUGCCCAAGAAGCCUGUUGAUUGUAGGAAUAUGCAAAAAACAGCAGCAGGGUCAAAAGAAAG